GACGUAGGGCGCGAGCGUUGUCCGGAUUUAUUGGGCGUAAAGAGCUCGUAGGCGGCUUGUCGCGCCGACCGUGAAAACUUGGGGCUCAACCCCAAGCCUGCGGUCGAUACGGGCAGGCUCGAGUUCGGUAGGGGAGACUGGAAUUCCUGGUGUAGCGGUGAAAUGCGCAGAUAUCAGGAGGAACACCGAUGGCGAAGGCAGGUCUCUGGGCCGAUACUGACGCUGAGGAGCGAAAGCGUGGGGAGCGAACAGG
rnacentral:rRNA from 1 species